rnacentral:rRNA from 1 species
AUUGAACGCUGGCGGCAUGCUUUACACAUGCAAGUCGAACGGUAACAGGGUGCUUGCACCGCUGACGAGUGGCGAACGGGUGAGUAAUGCGUCGGAACGUGCCGAGUAGUGGGGGAUAACGCAGCGAAAGUUGUGCUAAUACCGCAUACGUACUGAGGUAGAAAGUGGGGGACCUUCGGGCCUCACGCUAUUCGAGCGGCCGACGUCUGAUUAGCUAGUAGGUGAGGUAAAGGCUCACCUAGGCGACGAUCAGUAGCGGGUCUGAGAGGAUGACCCGCCAAACUGGGACUGAGACACGGCCCAGACUCCGACGGGGGGCAGCAGUGGGGAAUUUUGGACAAUGGGCGAAAGGCUGAUCCAGCCAUGCCGCGUGUCUGAAGAAGGCCUUCGGGUUGUAAAGGACUUUUGUCGGGGAGGAAAUCCCCAGCGUUAAUACCGCUGGGGGAUGACAGUACCUGAAGAAUAAGCACCGGCUAACUACGUGCCAGCCGCCGCCGUAACAC